ACGAUAAGUUUUCCAAAAGGAAUAUUGAAGAACCUCUGUGUCUGAGUUGGUACCUUAUAUGCCCCAGCAGACUUCGUAGUGAUAGAGACUGGUAAUGAUGAGAGGGCACCCAUCAUCUUAGGGAGGCCAUUCUUGAACACCUCGGGAGCUGUCAUUUACGCUAGUGCUGCCAAGAUCAGUUUCUACAUCAAAUGGAGAAAGGAGACAUUUUCCUUCAAGAACAAGACUGCACAAAUCCCAGAGCAAUCCAGACGUGAAUCAAGGAAGAGGACCAACAGGAGGAACAGGAACAAGCAAGUGUGGACCGAGUCAGCUAAGAUAGUCACUGCAGUUCAUGGAGGUCAAGAUCAUCAACUUAAGUCACCGUUUCUGACUAAGAAGGACGACCUAAGAAUGCCAAGCUUCUAUUGCUCCAUAAAUGGAUACAACUUCUACAAGACGACUUGCGACACCGGAUCGGGUGUCAACAUAAUGGCCACAGUCACCUAUCGGCUCUUGUUCGGAACCAUGCCCCUAAAACCAACAUACAUUCAGCUCCAGAUGGCAGAUCAGACAUUUUGAGAGUUUAAAGGAAUAGUAACUGAUGUCCCUGUCAAAAUAGACGAUUAUUUUGUCUACACAGACUUUCAGGUUAUAGACAUGGGCGUAACACCCAAAAUUUUGAUUUCAAUUAAUAGGAAUUAAUGUGAAGUACAUGGGUGUAACACCCAAAAUUUUGAUUUCAAUUAAUAGGAAUUAAUGUGAAGUAAUUAAGUAUUUUUUGUGAGCAUUUAACGUAGUAAAUAAAUAAAUUUUGUUGAAAAUAAAAAAAAUUAUCAUAAGUUUAGAAACAUGGCUGUGCAUUCAUGCUGGAUGCAUAAUAAUUUUUGUGCUGAUUUUAUUUUAUUUUAUUUACUUUAUGCUCAAAAGCUCUUUUAGAAAAUGCUUUGAAAAGAAAUAGAAUAAAGAAAAGAAAAAAAAAAAGGAAGAACUCACCUGCGCUCUCGGCCUGUUGGCCCAGAACCACCCAAGACGCCACCUUAGCCCAGCUGCGCACCGACCCUCCCCUCCCUCUCCUUCUUUGACCGACAAUCGGGCCCCACAUGUCAGCGGCCUUCCUUCUACCUCCGGUCGUCUUCGAACGGGACUCCGGAAAACGGAUUCGAUCCGGGAUUCGCGAUUCCUUGCCAAACGUGAAAACUGACCCGUAUUUAACCCCCAGCAUCGCCCCGCGCGUUGUUUUCCACCCUCGCCGCGGAAACCAAGCCCUAGACGCCAGCCCACGCGCGGUUUUGGAUCUUGGCGAAAGCUAAAUCCGCCACCGCACGCCGCGCGCCUCUCUCGCUACUCCUCGGCCCCAGCAAAACACUCCAGCGAGUCCGUGGUGAGCUCCUCGUUCCGAUGGUGUUUUCCUUUCGCGAAACGGUGCUCGGAAUCGAGAAGCCCGUCGUCGCCGGCGAGCUGCCAGUAAUGGAAACCACCGCACCGGAGCCGGCAGCCUGCUGGCCGGACCGCCGCCCAGCACCC
rnacentral:lncRNA from 1 species